CCUACGGGAGGCAGCAGUGAGGAAUAUUGGUCAAUGGACGAGAGUCUGAACCAGCCAAGUAGCGUGAAGGAUGACUGCCCUAUGGGUUGUAAACUUCUUUUAUAUGGGAAUAAAACGUUCCACGUGUGGGAUUUUGUAUGUACCAUAUGAAUAAGGAUCGGCUAACUCCGUGCCAGCAGCCGCGGUAAUACGGAGGAUCCGAGCGUUAUCCGGAUUUAUUGGGUUUAAAGGGAGCGUAGGUGGAUUGUUAAGUCAGUUGUGAAAGUUUGCGGCUCAACCGUAAAAUUGCAGUUGAAACUUGCAGUCUUGAGUACAGUAGAGGUAGGCGGAAUUCGUGGUGUAGCGGUGAAAUGCUUAGAUAUCACGAAGAACUCCGAUUGUGAAGGCAGUUCACUGGACUGCAACUGACACUGAGGCUCGAAAGUGUGGGUAUCAAACAGGAUUAGAUACCCGGGUAGUC
rnacentral:rRNA from 1 species